GCUAGUUGGGGUGGAGUCGAUCGGUGAAAUACCACUCUGACCAUAGUGGAUUCCUUAACUUCGGACCCUGAUCGGGUUCAGGGACAGUGCCUGAUGGGUAGUUUAACUGGGGCGGUUGCCUCCCAAAAUGUAACGGAGGCGCCCAAAGGUUCCCUCAGCCUGGUUGGCAAUCAGGUGUCGAGUGCAAGUGCACAAGGGAGCUUGACCGUGA
rnacentral:rRNA from 1 species